rnacentral:tRNA from 1 species
AGCCCCGUAGUGUAGCGGUCAAUCAUCGUGGACUCUGGAUCCAUGGACCCUGGUUCGAAUCCGGGCGGGGCUA